rnacentral:rRNA from 1 species
CCCCAGGCGGUCAACUUCACGCGUUAGCUACGUUACUAAGGAAAUGAAUCCCCAACAACUAGUUGACAUCGUUUAGGGCGUGGACUACCAGGGUAUCUAAUCCUGUUUGCUCCCCACGCUUUCGUGCAUGAGCGUCAGUGUUAUCCCAGGGGGCUGCCUUCGCCAUCGGUAUUCCUCCACAUCUCUACGCAUUUCACUGCUACACGUGGAAUUCUACCCCCCUCUGACACACUCUAGCCGUGCAGUCACCAAUGCAAUUCCCAAGUUAAGCUCGGGGAUUUCACAUCGGUCUUGCACAACCGCCUGCGCACGCUUUACGCCCAGUAAUUCCGAUUAACGCUUGGACCCUACGUAUUACCGCGGCUGCUGGCACGUAGUUAGCCGGUCCUUAUUCUUCCGGUACCGUCAUCGACCCCAGGUAUUAACCAGAGCCAUUUCUUUCCGGACAAAAGUGCUUUACAACCCGAAGGCCUUCUUCACACACGCGGCAUUGCUGGAUCAGGCUUUCGCCCAUUGUCCAAAAUUCCCCACUGCUGCCUCCCGUAGGAGUCU